GCUUUACUGUAACUUGAAAUUGGUUUCGGGUUUUAUUUGCGCAGUAUAGGUGGGAGGCUAAGAUAAUAAAUUUGCGGAUUUGUUGGAGCCAUUAGUGAGAUACCACUCUAAUAAAACUAGAAUUCUAACCUUGCAAGCCGUUACCCGGCCAAGGAACAGUUUCAGGCGGGCAGUUUGACUGGGGCGGUCGCCUCCUAAAAAGUAACGGAGGCGCGCAAAGGUUCCUUCAGGCUGGUUGGAAAUCAGUCGUAGAGUGCAAAGGCAUAAGGGAGCUUGACUGUAAGACCUACAAGUCGAACAGAGACGAAAGUCGGCCUUAGUGAUCCGACAGUUCCGAGUGGAAGGGCUGUCGCUCAACGGAUAAAAGUUA
rnacentral:rRNA from 1 species